rnacentral:rRNA from 1 species
UGGGGAAUAUUGCACAAUGGGGGAAACCCUGAUGCAGCGACGCCGCGUGAGCGAUGAAGUAUUUCGGUAUGUAAAGCUCUAUCAGCAGGGAAGAAAAUGACGGUACCUGACUAAGAAGCACCGGCUAACUACGUGCCAGCAGCCGCGGUAAUACGUAGGGGGCAAGCGUUAUCCGGAUUUACUGGGUGUAAAGGGAGCGUAGACGGUGUGGCAAGCCAGAUGUGAAAGCCCGGGGCUCAACCCCGGGACUGCAUUUGGAACUGUCAGACUGGAGUGUCGGAGAGGCAGGCGGAAUUCCUAGUGUAGCGGUGAAAUGCGUAGAUAUUAGGAGGAACACCAGUGGCGAAGGCGGUCUGCUGGACGAUGACUGACGUUGAGGCUCGAAAGCGUGGGGAGCAAACAGG